AUUGAACGCUGGCGGCAGGCUUAACACAUGCAAGUCGAGCGGGGUGAUGGUGCUUGCACUAUCACUUAGCGGCGGACGGGUGAGUAAUGCUUAGGAAUCUGCCUAUUAGUGGGGGACAACAUCUCGAAAGGGAUGCUAAUACCGCAUACGUCAUACGGGAGAAAGCAGGGGAUCACUUGUGACAUUGCGCUAAUAGAUGAGCCUAAGGCGGAUGAGCUAGUUGGUGGGGUAAAGGCCUACCAAGGCGACGAUCUGUAGCGGGUCUGAGAUGAUGGUCCGCAGCACGGGGACUGAGACACGGCCCAGACUCCUACGGGAGGCAGCAGUGGGGAAUAUUGGACAAUGGGGGGAACCCUGAUCCAGCCAUGCCGCGUGUGUGAAGAAGGCCUUAUGGUUGUAAAGCACUUUAAGCGAGGAGGAGGCUCUUUUGGUUAAUACCCAAGAUGAGUGGACGUUACUCGCAGAAUAAGCACCGGCUAACUCUGUGCCAGCCGCCGCGGUAA
rnacentral:rRNA from 1 species